UGUGUAGGCGGCCUUCUAAGUUUGGUGUGAAAUCUCCCGGCUCAACCGGGAGGGUGCGCCGAAGACUGGGGGGCUAGAGUGCGGGAUGGGAGAGUAGAAUUCCUGAUGUAGCGGUGAAAUGCGUAGAUAUCAGGAGGAAUACCUGUGGUGUAGACGGCUCUCUGGACCGCAACUGACGCUGAGACACGAAAGCGUGGGUAGCAAACA
rnacentral:rRNA from 1 species